GACGAACGCUGGCGGCGUGCUUAACACAUGCAAGUCGAACGGAAAGGCCCUGCUUUUGUGGGGUGCUCGAUUGGCGAACGGGUGAGUAACACGUGAGUAACCUGCCCUUGACUUUGGGAUAACUUCAGGAAACUGGGGCUAAUACCGGAUAGGAGCUCCUGCUGCAUGGUGGGGGUUGGAAAGUUUCGGCGGUUGGGGAUGGACUCGCGGCUUAUCAGCUUGUUGGUGGGGUAGUGGCUUACCAAGGCUUUGACGGGUAGCCGGCCUGAGAGGGUGACCGGCCACAUUGGGACUGAGAUACGGCCCAGACUCCUACGGGAGGCAGCAGUGGGGAAUAUUGCAGAAUGGGCGGAAGCCUGAUGCAGCAACGCCGCGUGCGGGAUGACGGCCUUCGGGUUGUAAACCGCUUUCGCCUGUGACGAAGCGUGAGUGACGGUAAUGGGUAAAGAAGCACCGGCUAACUACGUG
rnacentral:rRNA from 1 species